UGAAUAAAAAAUGAGCAAUGCUUCAGGUGCACACAGAGUUUCUUUUUUCGUUUUCUUUUUUCAUUUUUCAUGAAUUAAUUAACAAGGAUAAUGGCAAACGCAAUUAAGAAGAUCAUCGCACUGCCCGUUAGCAUCAUUUCCAAAUUCUUUCUUACAUAAUCUGUUACAUUGAUGCAGCAAGCAAUUAAAUGUUGGAGAACCCCCCAACUUUUUCCGGCAAUAUGUAGCUUCCACCUUUGUGAUCUGCUCAUCUCCUGCAAUCCUCGCAAACAUCUACUGUUAAUAAAAUAUAUACUAAUUCUCAACUACUUUAAAUCCUCUUUUUUUUCUUUUCUUUUUUUUUUAAAAAAAGGUUAUGGUUGAGUAAAACCCAAAAUCAAUUUGUAGUCUUUUUUACCUUCUUCAGGAUUGGAAUUUGGGCUGACGUAUGUAGCUUCAACCAUUUUCAGCCUAUUUCCUGCAACCAUCGCUAAAACCAACUGUUAAUAAAACAUACAACAAUUCUGAAGGGUCCAAAUUAAAAUUUUAAAAGGGGAAAAAUGCAUAAACUAAAUUAGCAUUUUAAAGAGGCCUCAAUAUGGUAACUUAAUUCCAAAUAUACACCGGUGAAAAUUCAAUUGUGAUAUUAUCUUAUUCAACAAUAAUCAAAUCUAAUUAGGACAAACUGAAAUUUAAAAUUCACCUGUAGAGACAAAGAUCAGAGCCCAGAUGAGAACAACGAAGAUAGAGAAAGUUUUCAUUUUCCUUUUCUUGAUUGAAAUUACGAGGCUAAUGCAACUUUACACCAAGGUAUGUUGUGGCUGUUAAUUGUUGGGUAAAAGGUUUCAAAAUAUAUUUCUGUUUUUGAUAAACUGCUUUUGAUUAUUUGGUUAUUGAAAGAGAUGUUACAGAAUUUAUUAUUUGGUAGUUACAAAGUGAUAUAUUGUUAUCAAAGUUAUUUUUACCCGUUACAAAGUGCUAUU
rnacentral:lncRNA from 1 species